CCAGUAUCUCAGACGUAUCAUC
rnacentral:miRNA from 1 species